rnacentral:snRNA from 1 species
GGCUGUGAGGGCGGCCUGGCUGACAUGUCACUCCACUGACCGCCAGGGCCGAUUCGGCUGACCUGGCUGGCGGGGUGGGCGGGUGUCCCUCCUCCCUCGCCCAUCCUUGCCCUCGCACCGAGUGGACAAGGAUGGCCUUCCCCCAGAGGAGAGGACCCGUCUCGGUCUCGGGUCAAGGGCAUACGAGUAGCCGCGCUCCCCCGCGGGAGCCUCCACACAAGCUCUCGGAGGCUCCAGUGGGAUCACGGGCGCUCGAGGCUGAAGUGACAUCGGACUGGAGUC